UACGUAGGGGGCGAGCGUUGUCCGGAGUUACUGGGCGUAAAGCGCUUGUAGGCGGUCCACCAAGUUUGGGGUGACAGUUGCCGACUUAAUAGGCAAAGUGCCUCAAAGACUGGCGGACUUGAGGGCCACAGAGGGACAUGGAACUCCAGGUGUAGUGGUGAAAUGCGUAGAUAUCUGGAAGAACACCAAAGGCGAAGGCAGUGUCCUGGGUGGUCGCUGACGCUGAGAGGCGAAAGCCAGGGGAGCGAACGGG
rnacentral:rRNA from 1 species